rnacentral:rRNA from 1 species
UACGUAGGGUGCGAGCGUUGUCCGGAAUUACUGGGCGUAAAGAGCUUGUAGGUGGUUUGUCGCGUUGUUCGUGAAAUCUCACGGCUUAACUGUGAGCGUGCGGGCGAUACGGGCAGACUAGAGUACUGCAGGGGAGACUGGAAUUCCUGGUGUAGCGGUGGAAUGCGCAGAUAUCAGGAGGAACACCGGUGGUGAAGGCGGGUCUCUGGGCAGUAACUGACGCUGAGAAGCGAAAGCGUGGGGAGCGAACAGG